UCUCUGAUAGUAUAUCGGUCAGUACACGCGCCUGUCAUCACGAUACGCGAAUCAUCAUUGCGCGCGAAAGCUGGGUUCGACUCCCAGUCAGAGAG